rnacentral:rRNA from 1 species
GACGGAGGAUGCAAGUGUUAUCCGGAAUCACUGGGCGUAAAGCGUCUGUAGGUGGUUUAAUAAGUCAACUGUUAAAUCUUGAGGCUCAACCUCAAAAUCGCAGUCGAAACUAUUAGGCUAGAGUAUAGUAGGGGUAAAGGGAAUUUCCAGUGGAGCGGUGAAAUGCGUAGAUAUGCGGAGGAACACCGAUGGCGAAGGCAAUCCCCUGGGCCUGCACUGACGCUCAUGCACGAAAGCGUGGGGAGCAAACAGG